rnacentral:tRNA from 1 species
GGCGUGGUGGCAGGGUGGUCUAAUGCGAUAGACUAGAAAUCUAUUCUCUUCGGAGGCGUCUGUUCGAAUCAGGCUCACGUCG